AAGCCAUGAUGUGGGCAUUGAGACCAAUAGCCCUUGAACCUCUCCCAAGCUUCACUAAAGCCCUCUAGGUUCUUCUGCUAAAAGCUAGAGAUCUCAUUCCUGAUCUU
rnacentral:snoRNA from 1 species